UGGAUAAUAGAUUUUUCUCUAAUAUUCUCUAUCUGUAAUUUUCACUCAAUAGAUUAAAGAGUAACAUCCCAAACCUAGCUAUGUCGUUCGUUGUGCACCUAGAAAAUAUAAGAUAUCCUGUGGUGAAAAUGAGUACUCUAAGGUUGGAUAAAAUUGCUGAUAUUACACCACUGAGACAGAGUAGGAGGAUUAAGGUGAAAGUGGUGUGAUUAUAGAUGACACUAUAUUACAACCUUCCUGAUGAGGUGAAUAGCAUCGAAAUAGUGCUCGAAGAUAAAAUGAUGUCAUUGGUAAGCAUGGUGAUUAUGGUCAGAUGGAGGUUGUUAAUAAAGAUGGAAAGAUGGUCAAAAGAAUGAUAUUGGAGCUUCAAAAUUUAGGGUGAGGGGAAUGAAGGACCUGCUAUCCUAAUAAUCCAAUGGUGCAAAAUC